rnacentral:rRNA from 1 species
GCAGUCGAGCGGACAGAUGGGAGCUUGCUCCCUGAUGUUAGCGGCGGACGGGUGAGUAACACGUGGGUAACCUGCCUGUAAGACUGGGAUAACUCCGGGAAACCGGGGCUAAUACCGGAUGGUUGUCUGAACCGCAUGGUUCAGACAUAAAAGGUGGCUUCGGCUACCACUUACAGAUGGACCCGCGGCGCAUUAGCUAGUUGGUGAGGUAACGGCUCACCAAGGCGACGAUGCGUAGCCGACCUGAGAGGGUGAUCGGCCACACUGGGACUGAGACACGGCCCAGACUCCUACGGGAGGCAGCAGUAGGGAAUCUUCCGCAAUGGACGAAAGUCUGACGGAGCAACGCCGCGUGAGUGAUGAAGGUUUUCGGAUCGUAAAGCUCUGUUGUUAGGGAAGAACAAGUGCCGUUCAAAUAGGGCGGCACCUUGACGGUACCUAACCAGAAAGCCACGGCUAACUACGUGCCAGCAGCCGCGGUAAUACGUAGGUGGCAAGCGUUGUCCGGAAUUAUUGGGCGUAAAGGGCUCGCAGGCGGUUUCUUAAGUCUGAUGUGAAAGCCCCCGGCUCAACCGGGGAGGGUCAUUGGAAACUGGGGAACUUGAGUGCAGAAGAGGAGAGUGGAAUUCCACGUGUAGCGGUGAAAUGCGU